GAUGAACGCUAGCUACAGGCUUAACACAUGCAAGUCGCGGGGCAGCAUGGGGGUUGCUUGCAUCUCCCGAUGGCGACCGGCGCACGGGUGAGUAACGCGUAUCCAACCUGCCCUUCACCACGGGAUAACCCGGCGAGAGUCGGACUAAUACCGUAUGUUGUCCAUUGACGGCAUCCGAUUUGGACGAAAGGCUUUGCGGUGAAGGAUGGGGAUGCGUCCGAUUAGCCAGACGGCGGGGUAACGGCCCACCGUGGCUACGAUCGGUAGGGGUUCUGAGAGGAAGGUCCCCCACACUGGAACUGAGACACGGUCCAGACUCCUACGGGAGGCAGCAGUGAGGAAUAUUGGUCAAUGGGCGUAAGCCUGAACCAGCCAAGUAGCGUGCAGGAUGACGGCCCUAUGGGUUGUAAACUGCUUUUAUGCGGGGAUAAAGUGGCCCACGUGUGGGCUUUUGCAGGUACCGCAUGAAUAAGGACCGGCUAAUUCCGUG
rnacentral:rRNA from 1 species